GGUACGAUGGCCGAGCCGUCUAAGGCGCCAGACUCGGGUUUAGAGAACUAACUUCUGUUUCGAAAACGGACAGCGCAUUCUGGUCUCAAAAGAGGCGGGAGUUUGAAUCUCCCUCGUAUCA